rnacentral:rRNA from 1 species
GUGUCAGCCGCCGCGGUAAUACGGAGGGGGCCAGCGUUGCUCGGAAUCACUGGGCGUAAAGGGCUCGUAGGCGGUUUGAUAAGUCCUGUGUGAAAUCCCUUGGCUCAACCAAGGAAUGGCGCAGGAUACUGUCAUACUUGAGGCCGGGAGAGGGAAGCGGAAUUCCCAGUGUAGCGGUGAAAUGCGUAGAUAUUGGGAGGAACACCGGUGGCGAAGGCGGCUUCCUGGACCGGUUCUGACGCUCAAGAGCGAAAGCCAGGGGAGCAAACAGGAUUAGAAACCCUCGUAGUCC